UUCUGACGAUGCUGUCUGUGUUGAGAGCUCAGUGGAUCUGCGUUUGACUACUCCGCCUAGGCUGCACUGUCGAGCGCAGAUCCACUGAGCGCAGCGCAAGCUAGCAAGACAGAAGCUAAGCUCUGUCAACAUGGCAAAUUGAACCUCCCCCGCCCGCAUUCAGAUCUGGCUUUUGGAACUAUUUUGGUCUUCAUGUGAAGCAUGACCCUGAAGGCCGCCAGCUUCGCGCCCAGCAUGCACUGCAGAGCAGCGUUAUUUGGGUUGAUCUCCAAUGCAAAGCGAAGCUGUUUGAUGGCCUGGGAUUCCUCAUCUUCCUAAGUUUUAUCGAAUCUGUGAUGUCCUUUUGUAUCGCUGCCUGGUUUGGUAACCUGACGGUGAAGAAUAAGAAUCGGUUGGGACUUCUGGUAAAAACUGCAAGAAAAUUUCAGCAUGCUGGCAAGAUGGACUUUUGGCCAUUUACAAUAAAAAUGUGCUGAGUAAGGCUCAUUCUAUUAUUAAUUGUUUGAACCAUCCACUUCACAGUGAGUUUGAGUUGUUGCCUUCCGGCCGCCGUUACCUCCGAGGAAGACCAAAAGACUCCAGGUUUCUUUUAUCCCCACUGCAUCUUGUCUCCUUAAUGGCAAAUAACUGUCCUUAGACUUUCUAUUAUUGUCAUUAUUAUUUUAUAUUAUUUUUCUGUUUCCUUUUAUCCUGCUGCUAAACUAAUCUCCCCUUGUGGGACAAUAAAGAAUUUGAAUUGAAUUGAAUUGAGGAGGAACAUACCCAUAUAAGGUAAUAAACUUUUCAUUCUUAGUGUUAAGAUUAGUGUUAAGAUGUUUAUACUAUACCAGUAUUUUUAAAAUGCACAAUAAACUUUUUUGCCUUCCAGUAAAAGCUAAA